GGGCUAGUAAAGGUUUCGACGGGGUACAUGCAGCUGGAGAAGCGAGUCGUAUGGCGAUGCGUUAAAUGGCCAAAUUAAAAUUAAACGCUGAAGAUAAUUUAGCAUACGCUGCCUAAUGGCAGCAGUCUGACCUAGAGCACUCACACUUUAGGACCCAGGCUUCGACUAUGUGAGAAACGACGUUGGCAAAGCUUUGAGCCAUCGGGCGUAUCAUGAAGCUACUGAAACCACAAGGUUGUUUGUUAUCGUGUGGCAGAGGGAAUGUUAAAUAAUAAACUACACUCGUAGAAGGACAGGGAAUUGUAUUUCGGACACGGGUUCGACUCCCGUCUAGUCCACUA
rfam:[Eubacterium rectale] ATCC 33656 chromosome, complete genome.